rnacentral:rRNA from 1 species
GGAUUAGAUACCCGGGUAGUCCACGCCGUAAACGUUGGGCGCUAGGUGUGGGACUCAUUCCACGAGUUCCGUGCCGCAGCUAACGCAUUAAGCGCCCCGCCUGGGGAGUACGGCCGCAAGGCUAAAACUCAAAGGAAUUGACGGGUGCCCGCACAAGCGGCGGAGCAUGUGGAUUAGUUCGAUGCAACGCGAAGAACCUUACCUGGGUUUGACAUAUAGGGAAAACUGUCAGAGAUGGCAGGUCCGCAAGGGCCCUAUACAGGUGGUGCAUGGCUGUCGUCAGCUCGUGUCGUGAGAUGUUGGGUUAAGUCCCGCAACGAGCGCAACCCUCGUUCCAUGUUGCCAGCGGAUAAUGCCGGGGACUC